ACACCUGGCAGGGGAGAUCCCAUGAUCACAAAGGUGGUUUUCCUAGGGCAAGGCUUAUCCAUUGUGCUCCAGAUGUUUUGACCCCUGAGAUUUCCCCAAAUGUGGAAAACUGGACUGCAUAAUUUGUGGUAGUAGGGGACUGUGUUCACACUUUCCCCUG
ensembl:snRNA U1 U1 spliceosomal RNA